UAAGACCCCCACACCAGAUCCCAAACCCUAGCCGCCUGCCCUCGCCGGAGAAGACGAACCAGAAGCCGACCGCCGCCACCCGCCGCCGCACCGGAGGGAUUUCCGACCGCCGAUCGAGGUAAAUUUUAUACCCCCGACUCGUUUUUCCACGCUGAUUUCCCCAGUGGCCAAAUCGGAGCCAAAAUCUCGGCCAAACGGCCGAAAAACACGGCCGAAAGCCAGCGGCGCCGCCGCGCCCCUUCUCGGUUUUUGCCUCCGAUGAGGCCCUUCCCGGCCUCCGUUUAAUGCAAUUUUUAUAUCACCGUGAUCAUCAUUCUUUUCUCUACAGGUUGAUUGGAGCCGAAUCACCAAAACACGAACUUCACCGGAGAGCCGCCGCACCCGAGAGCACCGCCGCCGGUAAGCUUCGGUUUUCCGUAAAUUUUCGGCCCCCCGAGGGCCGUAGGGUUGUUUUAUUGCAGGAACCAAUGCGAGUGUGGCCGAAUUCGGCCGGAAACGGCCGAAAACGGCCAACCCGAGGCGAACUGCCGCCGCAAGCGGCGGCGCC
rnacentral:lncRNA from 1 species